GAUGAACGCUAGCUACAGGCUUAACACAUGCAAGUCGCAGGGUAACAUGAGGAAAGCUUGCUUUCCUUGAUGACGACUGGCGCACGGGUGAGUAACGCGUAUCCAACCUUCCCAUAACUACGGGAUAACCCGUUGAAAGACGGCCUAAUACCGUAUGAUAUCGUUUGCUGACAUCAAAUAACGAUUAAAGGUUUAGCGGUUAUGGACGGGGAUGCGUCUGAUUAGCUUGUUGGCGGGGUAACGGCCCACCAAGGCGACGAUCAGUAGGGGUUCUGAGAGGAAGGUCCCCCAGAUUGGAACUGCGACACGGUCCAAACUCCUACGGGAGGCAGCAGUGAAGAAUAUUAGUCAAUGAGCGAGGGCCUGAACCAGCCAAGUAGCGUGCAGGAUGACGGCCCUAUGGGUUGUAAACUGCUUUUAUGUGGGGAUAAAGUGCGUGACGUGUCAUGCAUUGCAGGUACCACAUGAAUAAGGACCGGCUAAUUCCGUG
rnacentral:rRNA from 1 species